UACAGGGGGUGCAAACGUUGCUCGGAAUCAUUGGGCGUAAAGCGCACGUAGGCGGUUUGUUAUGUCGGAUGUGAAAGCCCUUGGCUCAACUGAGGAAGUGCAUCCGAAACUGGCAAGCUAGAGUACUAAAGAGGGUCGCGGAAUUCCCGGUGUAGAGGUGAAAUUCGUAGAUAUCGGGAGGAACACCGGUGGCGAAGGCGGCGAUCUGGGUAGAUACUGACGCUGAGGUGCGAAAGCGUGGGGAGCAAACAGG
rnacentral:rRNA from 1 species